GAGAAGCUCCGGAAAGAGCGUGUGGAUGGUGCAGUAGGCCGCAGGGACACCUUGCAUGAUAGAGAAUCCGGAAGUCAUAUGUUGACACGGCUGUUGACAAGAAUAUAAUACAACUUAAGAUUUCCUGAGCCACGGCUAUGUGGCAAGCAUCGUUGCAGGCGUUUUCAAAAUGAGACGCGUCCUACUGCUGCCCCUCUUCACAGAUGGGAAAACGGAGGCACAGAGACAUUAGGGAUUUGGCUCAAGGUCCCACAGGCAGUGAGGGGCCAACCUAGGAUCGAAAGCCAGGUUUUUCUCUUCCCCAGGCUGUGUUCCCUCUCCAGGAACAGGGUUUCAAAGGAGAUCAAAUAUUCUAACAGGGGAAUCCAGAAAGAAGAAUGUGAUCAAUUUCCUCCUCUCUACAGAUUUGUCUAUUUUGCAAUUCAUCAAAGAUGAUGAUCUAGAAUUCAGACUGAACACAGGGUCAAGUUCAUUUUUUCCCCAUUUUGAAUAGUGGAAAAAGGAACCCUGGAAGAUUUGAGACAUUUAAAAGCCAAAAAUACAAAUCAGCAAAACAGAACAAAAAGAACUUUCCGAAGGCAAACUUAUUAUUGAUUGGUAAAACACAUUUUUGAAACAAGAAGAAGAGAGUGCACCUGAUGUAAUAGCCACUGUAAGAACUGGAGUAGACAACAAUCUCAUUGGCCCAGUGCAAGAGGAAUUGGAGGGAAAAAGAAACCACAAGAAGAAAGGUCAGACAAAGGAAAUUAAGCUAAAUAUUCACUAUCUGACUAUCUGAAGAAUAUUCCCAGAAGUUACUGUU